rnacentral:rRNA from 1 species
GAUGAACGCUGGCGGCACGCCUAACACAUGCAAGUCGAACGAAGUCUUCGGACUUAGUGGCGGACGGGUGAGUAACACGUGGGAACGUGCCUUUAGGUUCGGAAUAACUCAGGGAAACUUGUGCUAAUACCGAAUGUGCCCUUCGGGGGAAAGAUUUAUCGCCUUUAGAGCGGCCCGCGUCUGAUUAGCUAGUUGGUGGGGUAACGGCCCACCAAGGCUACGAUCAGUAGCUGGUCUGAGAGGAUGACCAGCCACAUUGGGACUGAGACACGGCCCAAACUCCUACGGGAGGCAGCAGUGGGGAAUCUUGCGCAAUGGGCGAAAGCCUGACGCAGCCAUGCCGCGUGGAUGAUGAAGGUCUUAGGAUUGUAAAAUCCUUUCACCGGUGAAGAUAAUGACUGUAGCCGGAGAAGAAGCCCCGGCUAACUUCGUGCCAGCAGCCGCCGUAA